CAGAAUAGGAGGAACAAUACGUGUCAUAUUUUUUAAUGAACAUUUAAAGAUACAGAGAGCCUCAGGGGACACACUUUGUACCAACGUUCAGAGAAUGAUGCUUGGAACUAUGGUGCCCAUCUAUAAAGCCACCUAUGGGCAUGCCAGUGGAGGACACCACCCUCAGACUGUAAGCACUGAUGCAAUCACCCACUUACUCAGCAGAGAAAAGGACAAAGGACAAAUCAAGAAGGCAUGAGACACCAUAAUCAAUUCCUCCUGGUCUGCUACUGAUCACAGGCCCUGGUCUAAGAAAUGGUGAACUGGAGGCUCUGAAAUCAAGUGCCCUAAGGCUGCAUAGGUAGAAAG
rnacentral:lncRNA from 1 species